UGAGUGGCGAACGGGUGAGUAACACGUGAGUAACCUGCCCUCUUCUUUGGGAUAACGCCCGGAAACAGGUGCUAAUACUGGAUAUUCACUGGCCUUCGCAUGGGGGUUGGUGGAAAGGUUUGUUCUGGUGGGGGAUGGGCUCGCGGCCUAUCAGCUUGUUGGUGGGGUGAUGGCCUACCAAGGCUUUGACGGGUAGCCGGCCUGAGAGGGUGACCGGUCACAUUGGGACUGAGAUACGGCCCAG
rnacentral:rRNA from 1 species